UACGGGGGGGGCAAGCGUUGUUCGGAAUUACUGGGCGUAAAGGGCUCGUAGGCGGCCAACUAAGUCGGACGUGAAAUCCCCAGGCUCAACCUGGGAACUGCGUCCGAUACUGGAUGGCUUGAAUCCGGGAGAGGGAUGCAGAAUUCCAGGUGUAGCGGUGAAAUGCGUAGAUAUCUGGAGGAACACCGGUGGCGAAGGCGGCAUUCUGGACUGUAACUGACACUGAGGAACGAAAGCCAGGGGAGCAAACGGG
rnacentral:rRNA from 1 species